UAGUUUUUUAAUUGAAAACUAGUAUGAAUGGUUGAACGAAAUAUAUAGUGUUUCAUUUAUAAUAUUAUAGAAUUUUACUUUUAAAUUAAAAGGUUUAAAUAAAAUUAAAAGACGAGAAGACCCUAUAGAGUUUUAUAAAUAAAAAUUUUUUUUUUAUUUAAAUUAAUUUAAAAAUUAUAUUGUUAUAUAUUUUAUUGGGGUGAUAGUAAAAUUUAAUAAACUUUUAUUUUUUUAUUACAUAUAUUAAUGAUUAAUUGAUCCAUUUUUAAUGAUUAAAAGAUUAAAUUACCUUAGGGAUAACAGCGUAAUUUUUUUAAAGAGUUCUUAUCGAUAAAAAAUUUUGC
rnacentral:rRNA from 1 species